rnacentral:rRNA from 1 species
GACGUAGGGCGCGAGCGUUGUCCGGAUUUAUUGGGCGUAAAGAGCUCGUAGGCGGCUUGUCGCGUCGUCCGUGAAAACCUGCAGCUCAACUGUAGGCUUGCGGUCGAUACGGGCAGGCUAGAGUUCGGUAGGGGAGACUGGAAUUCCUGGUGUAGCGGUGAAAUGCGCAGAUAUCAGGAGGAACACCGGUGGCGAAGGCGGGUCUCUGGGCCGAUACUGACGCUGAGGAGCGAAAGCGUGGGGAGCGAACAGG